rnacentral:misc_RNA from 1 species
GGAAAUAAAAGUCGUAACAAGGUUUCCGUAGGUGAACCUGCGGAAGGAUCAUUAUUGUAUAACCGAGGUGCGAGGGCUGUCGCUGACCCGAAAGGUCGUGCACGCCCGAGUGCCCUCACACACAUCCAUCUCACCCCUAUGUGCACCACCGCGUGGGUCCCCCUUUGGCUUGUUCGGAGGGGGGCUUACGUUUUCACACAAACUUUGUAUGCAGUGUAGAAUGUAUUUUUUGUUUUUGCGAUCACGCAAUCAAUACAACUUUCAACAACGGAUCUCUUGGCCCUC